UACGAAGGGGGCUAGCGUUGUUCGGAAUUACUGGGCGUAAAGCGUGCGCAGGCGGCUUCUCAAGUCAGGGGUGAAAGCCCAGAGCUCAACUCUGGAACUGCCUUUGAGACUGAGAGGCUUGAGUACGGGAGAGGUGAGUGGAAUUCCCAGUGUAGAGGUGAAAUUCGUAGAUAUUGGGAAGAACACCGGUGGCGAAGGCGGCUCACUGGCCCGAAACUGACGCUCAUGCACGACAGCGUGGGGAUCAAACAGA
rnacentral:rRNA from 1 species